CCUACGGGAGGCUGCAGUGAGGAAUAUUGGUCAAUGGACGAAAGUCUGAACCAGCCAAGUAGCGUGAAGGAUGAAGGCUCUAUGGAUUGUAAACUUCUUUUAUAUGGGAAUAAAAUGUGGCACGUGUGGGAUUUUGUAUGUACCAUAUGAAUAAGGAUCGGCUAACUCCGUGCCAGCAGCCGCGGUAAUACGGAGGAUCCGAGCGUUAUCCGGAUUUAUUGGGUUUAAAGGGUGCGUAGGUGGAUUGUUAAGUCAGUGGUGAAAGUUUGUGGCUCAACCUUAAAAUUGCAGUUGAAACUGGGAGGCUUGAGUAUAGUAGAGGUGGGCGGAAUUCGUGGUGUAGCGGUGAAAUGCUUAGAUAGCACGAAGAACUCCGAUUGCGAAGGCAGCUCACUAGACUGCAACUGACACUGAGGCUCGAAAGUGUGGGGAUCAAACAGGAUUAGAUACCCGUGUAGUC
rnacentral:rRNA from 1 species